rnacentral:rRNA from 1 species
GUCANGGGGUAGCAAUACACCGGCGGACGGGUGCGUAACGCGUACACAACAUACCUUUAAGCGGGGGAUAGCAUUGGGAAACUGGUGGUAAUACCCCAUAACAUUGCGUUUCGGCAUUGGAAUGCAAUUAAAGUUUUGGCGCUUAGAGAUUGGUGUGCGUCUGAUUAGCUAGUUGGCGGGGUAACGGCCCACCAAGGCGACGAUCAGUAGGGGGUGUGAGAGCAUGACCCCCCACAUGGGUACUGAGACACGGACCCAACUCCUACGGGAGGCAGCAGUAAGGAAUAUUGGACAAUGGGCGGAAGCCUGAUCCAGCCAUGCCGCGUGAAGGAUGAAGGCGCUCAGCGUUGUAAACUUCUUUUGGAUGGGGACAAUAACUUUCAUUUAUGAGAGCUUGAGGGUACCAUCAGAAUAAGCACCGGCUAACUCCGUGCCAGCAGCCGCGGCAAUACGGAGGGUGCAAGCGUUAUCCGGAAUCACUGGGUUUAAAGGGUGCGUAGGCGGUCAGAUAAGUCAGUCGUGAAAUUCUCCGGCUUAACCGGGUGGACUGCGAUUGAUACUGUUUGACUUGAAUGAGGUUGAGGUAGGCGGAAUGUGGCAUGUAGCGGUGAAAUGCUUAGAUAUGCCAUAGAACACCGAUUGCGAAGGCAGCUUGCUGGGCCUUCAUUGACGCUGAGGCACGAAAGCGUGGGGAGCAAAC